GCGUAAAGCGUACGUAGGCGGUGAGUUAAGUUAGAUGUGAAAGCCCCGGGCUUAACCUGGGAACUGCAUUUAAAACUGGCUGACUAGAGUUGAGUAGAGGGGAGUGGAAUUUCAGGUGUAGCGGUGAAAUGCGUAGAGAUCUGAAGGAACACCAGUGGCGAAGGCGACUCCCUGGACUCAAACUGACGCUGAGGUACGAAAGCGUGGGUAGCAAACAGGAUUAGAUACCCUGGUAGUCCACGCCGUAAACGAUGUCAACUAGCCGUUGGGUUUAUUGUAAACUUAGUGGUGGAGCUAACGCAUUAAGUUGACCGCCUGGGGAGUACGGCCGCAAGGUUAAAACUCAAAUGAAUUGACGGGGGCCCGCACAAGCGGUGGAGCAUGUGGUUUAAUUCGAUGCAACGCGAAGAACCUUACCUACCCUUGACAUCCUCAGAACUUGUUAGAGAUAACUUGGUGCCUUCGGGAACUGAGUGACAGGUGCUGCAUGGCUGUCGUCAGCUCGUGUCGUGAGAUGUUGGGUUAAGUCCCGUAACGAGCGCAACCCUUAUCCUUAGUUGCCAGCACAUAAUGGUGGGAACUCUAAGGAGACUGCCGGUGAUAAACCGGAGGAAGGUGGGGACGACGUCAAGUCAUCAUGGCCCUUAUGGGUAGGGCUACACACGUGCUACAAUGGCCGGUACAGAGGGCAGCGAACUCGCGAGAGCAAGC
rnacentral:rRNA from 1 species